CCCAAGUGCACACUUACGCUAAAUAUGAAUGAAAUUGGUCAACUGGUUGUUGAGAUAUUGUGCUAAGAAGCAAAACGGAUGGAUGGAUGGAGGGAAGGACAUGCUAAUCACUAUAUCCCCGUAUUUCAUACUGGGAGGAUAAAAAGUCCAAUGACCCAUUGGGAAAUUCAGUUUCCCAGCAUGCUAUUUGAGAGUCAAAGGGUACUGCUAGGCUACAUAUGCUCAUGUUAGCUUCAUUUAGCAGAAAAUCUAUGGUUGACAUUUCCUGUAUAU